ACUCCUACGGGAGGCAGCAGUGGGGAAUUUUGCGCAAUGGGGGAAACCCUGACGCAGCAACGCCGCGUGAGUGAUGAAGGCCUUCGGGUCGUAAAGCUCUGUCAGAGGGAACGAAUUGCGGGCGGCUAAUAUCCGUGCCGUUUGACGGUACCCUCAGAGGAAGCACCGGCUAACUCCGUGCCAGCAGCCGCGGUAAUACGGAGGGUGCGAGCGUUGUUCGGAAUUAUUGGGCGUAAAGCGCGUGUAGGCGGUUUGGUAAGUCUGAUGUGAAAGCCCUGGGCUCAACCUGGGAAGUGCAUUGGAUACUGCCAGACUUGAGUACGGGAGAGGAGAGUGGAAUUCCCAGUGUAGGAGUGAAAUCCGUAGAUAUUGGGAGGAACACCGGUGGCGAAGGCGGCUCUCUGGACCGAUACUGACGCUGAGACGCGAAAGCGUGGGGAGCAAACAGGAUUAGAUACCCUGGUAGUCCACGCCGUAAACGAUGAGAACUAGGUGUUGCGGGUA
rnacentral:rRNA from 1 species